UAACCAUAACCAUGUCAUGGUGGGUUUGCCUAGUUUUCUUAUGAUGGAACAGGGCAAGUAUCAAGCAGGAGAGCAAGGUUCAUCAAUUCUGACAACACAUGCUCCACCAAUGAUUAAACCGAGGACGGUUUGCUGUCAAAAAGGGGAGAAUGAUGAGGACAUCACCUGCUCCGUAAUACUUACAUGGAUCAGGAGAAUAUUUGAUUGCAUAUUGAAAGUAUGGAUGGUGAAUGAAGUUGAUUGGGGACC
rnacentral:lncRNA from 1 species